rnacentral:tRNA from 1 species
GCCCUAGUAGCUCAAAGGAUAGAGCGUUUGCCUCCGGAGCAGAAGGUUGCAGGUUCGAGUCCUGUCUGGGGCA